rnacentral:tRNA from 1 species
UAGCAUAGUGGCAUUGCGUUCGCUUCGUAAGCGAAAAGUCGUGAGUUCAAUCCUCAC